GACAGAGGGGGCAAGCGUUGCUCGGAAUUACUGGGCGUAAAGGGCGCGUAGGCGGGAUGGCAAGUCGGUCGUGAAAUCCUUCGGCUCAACCGAAGAACGUCGAUCGAUACUGCUGUUCUUGAGGGUUGCAGAGGAGACUGGAAUUCCCGGUGUAGCGGUGAAAUGUGUAGAGAUCGGGAGGAACACCGGUGGCGAAGGCGGGUCUCUGGGCCUUACCUGACGCUGAGGAGCGAAAGCGUGGGGAGCGAACAGG
rnacentral:rRNA from 1 species